rnacentral:tRNA from 1 species
GACCAAUUUAUAUAUUGAUUUGAAAUCUUGUUGAAAGCGUGUAAAGAUUGCUUAUUGGUUU